rnacentral:rRNA from 1 species
UACGUAGGGCGCGAGCGUUGUCCGGAAUUAUUGGGCGUAAAGAGCUCGUAGGCGGCCUGUCGCGUCGGUUGUGAAAGCCCGGGGCUCAACCCCGGGUCUGCAGUCGAUACGGGCAGGCUAGAGUUCGGUAGGGGAGAGUCGGAAUUCCUGGUGUAGCGGUGGAAAUGCGCAGAUAUCAGGAGGAACACCGGUGGCGAAGGCGGAUCUCUGGGCCGAUACUGACGCUGAGGAGCGAAAGCGUGGGGAGCGAACAGG